CCUACGGGGUGCAGCAGUGAGGAAUAUUGGUCAAUGGAUGAGAGUCUGAACCAGCCAAGUAGCGUGAAGGAUGACUGCCCUAUGGGUUGUAAACUUCUUUUAUAUGGGAAUAAAAUGUUCCACGUGUGGGAUUUUGUAUGUACCAUAUGAAUAAGGAUCGGCUAACUCCGUGCCAGCAGCCGCGGUAAUACGGAGGAUCCGAGCGUUAUCCGGAUUUAUUGGGUUUAAAGGGAGCGUAGGUGGAUUGUUAAGUCAGUUGUGAAAGUUUGCGGCUCAACCGUAAAAUUGCAGUUGAAACUGGCAGUCUUGAGUACAGUAGAGGUGGGCGGAAUUCGUGGUGUAGCGGUGAAAUGCUUAGAUAUCACGAAGAACUCCGAUUGCGAAGGCAGUUCACUGGACUGCAACUGACACUGAGGCUCGAAAGUGUGGGUAUCAAACAGGAUUAGAUACCCCAGUAGUC
rnacentral:rRNA from 1 species